CACUAAGAAGCUUAAUUAUUGGACAAAGCAGUGGCCUUUUAAGCCAAAGAUUGGUGCCUCCCGACCACCCUCAGUGA
rnacentral:tRNA from 1 species